rnacentral:rRNA from 1 species
UACGGAGGGUGCAAGCGUUAUCCGGAUUUAUUGGGUUUAAAGGGUCCGCAGGCGGACUGAUAAGUCAGUGGUGAAAUCUCUCGGCUCAACCGAGAAACUGCCAUUGAUACUGUUAGUCUAGAGUGUAGUUGGCGUAGGCGGAAUAUAUCAUGUAGCGGUGAAAUGCUUAGAUAUGAUAUAGAACACCGAUCGCGAAGGCAGCUUACGAAACUACAACUGACGCUCAGGGACGAAAGCGUGGGGAGCGAAC